rnacentral:rRNA from 2 species
AAAUUGAAGAGUUUGAUCAUGGCUCAGAUUGAACGCUGGCGGCAGGCCUAACACAUGCAAGUCGAGCGGAAACGAGUUAUCUGAACCUUCGG